rnacentral:lncRNA from 1 species
AACAGGCUCGUGCAGUCUCGAGCACAGUGAGGUUAGGUCUAAAACUUAAUAAUUUUUUAAUUUUUUUACUUGAAAGACUUUCACCUGAUGCUCUGCUAUGUCUUCUUCAUAAUGCAUAUUUUAUUAAUGUCAUUAAAGAAUCUAUUUUGUUUUUGGAUUGAAUUGUUCUCCGGGUUCAGUGUGUGGCCUGAAAACCUCUGUUUUAUUUUAUUUUUUACUACUUUAAGCUCUGUUUGUUACCCAUAGUUUUGGUUUUGAUUGAUGGACUUAAAAAAAAAUCCCAAUUUUCCUUAAUAUGUUUUUGUUUAGUUAUUGAGAUGGACCACCAGAUGUCAGUUCUUUAGUAUUUUGAUAAGUAAGCAUAAACAAAAAAAGAUAUUCUAAUUGCAAUUUUAGCCUAAUUUAUCUCACCCCUAAUCUUAUGUCAUUUGUAGGUAAAUUUAAAUUUCCUUGUGAAUGACGUUUUUGUCCAUCUAGUAGUUGGCAUAUUUAUAUAUAUUUUGAUUCUGAUAUGUACAUAUCGUCAGUGGUAGUGUUUUCCUUUUUCUUUUUUACCUGUCGCCCAAAAUAAGGAAAAUGUAAAAUAACAAAAUAAUCUUCUCUUGAAAUUUUUUUUGAAAAAAGGUAUAAUAUAAUAAUUUCACAAAAGUACUAAAUUAUGACUCAAAUUUUUAACUUUGAAACAUUUUAAUUGAUUUUUUCAAAAUAAAUACCGUGUGAAAAAUUGAUACCAACGUUAAAUGCUAUCCUGCUGAGCGUAUUUCCAUUGAUCAAAUUAUAAGUUCAUGUUAGAUUACAAUUUGAUUCAUAUAUUUUAGGCUUAGGCUUAAUUUUUUAUUUAGAAAAAGACAUCAUUAAACGAUUAUAAUAGAUAAACCACAAUUAAGAGGAAUUAGACCUGUAACAAUCUCUUUUCAACAAGCUUAUAACUGAUGCUGGUGGUGUUCUAAAUCAAUGUAUCAAAGAACUUACUGAAUCGGCAUAUUUAGUCAUGUGAUUCACAAUACUAUUAAGAUUUCUUGGGAUACGUCAGAUAUGAACCUCUUAUUUUCGACACAAUACCUGACAAUUGACGUAGUAGUUGUAACUCUACUAAAUUACUACUAGCUCCUCUACGAUAAAAGUAAUUUAAUCAAUAAUGCAUUAUCACAUUCAAUUUCAACAUUUCUAAACCUUUUAUCCUAAGCUAAACAUAAUCCUUUCAACAUUAAAGAAUGAUUCAUUGUCUAAACUCUUAAUAUUUGUUUAGACUCUUGUAUUACAAUGAUAUUUGUAUUUAUGAAUUUUUUUUAUAUUUUCGGUCACUUUGCCGUCUGUACUUCCACGAUAGCCCAUUCUUUAUAUUUUUUACAUGGUUGUGUAAGCUAGAUAAUAGUAAAAAAGGUUAAAGUGAGACUUGCAGUAUAAUAUAGGGACCAAAAGUGCAAACACAUGAACAUGUGGGUUUUCUUUUUAACGGGAUGAAAGUAAAACGAUGGGUGAAGUGAAUGAAAAAUAGUAAAAGAAUCAAAAGUGAAGGUAAAAAUAGGUAUAAAAAAAGCCUAUUAUUUAAAUAUGCUGACAAAAUAAUCAGAUUGGUAUGAAAUUAAUUUAAUUAGAAAUUGGAGAAUAAUAUUUCAAAACGAAUAUAAUAAUAUGUUAAUGUUUUCCUCGGGGACUUAUCUUUUCGUCUUUUAAGAGUUUGAGACGUGGGUUUAUGGUUUUUCAGUACUGAACCCCAUUUAUUCAGAAUGGUCCAGCGUGAAGGGAAAGGAUAAAAAAACAGAAGAAUCUAAGGAACUACACAAGGUUGGCAGUUGUGGAACAUUUAGAAUAGUUGAAGCUUGGGAUAAUUCUGGAACAUAAAAAAAGGAAAGAGGGAGUUGUUCUGUUGUUGUUAGGAAAAUGUCUUUUACUUGCAAUACAAUCAAAAUUAUAAACAAACUGUCGGUUGGGGAAUGUCAGCGAAUUGCUCAAC